AGGAAUUUGCCCCCGUAACAGGUUCCCCGAUGUCCAACCAGAGGUACAAUCGGUGCUGAGGCAGAAGGCAGCCCCGAAUGUAGACAUUCGGGGCUGCCUUCUGCUGCCGUCCGUCACUGCUCUCUGUUCUGCCAGAAACAGGAUUUUCUUGGUCUCCGGUUGAUCUGC
rfam:Ailuropoda melanoleuca scaffold440_38, whole genome shotgun sequence.